AUGUUCCAGAAAAUCAGCAAAAGGACAUUUUUUUUUCUCCCGGGUAACAACAGAUUGCCGCCAAAAUCUCUUCGUCGCAUACAUCUGCGGCUUACAUCGAUCUACUCCAUUGCCGCUGGAUCACAUGAGACUAGAUCAGGAUUGAUAGAGAAAAUUUGCCUUCUCCGUGGAUCAGCAUCUACUGUGUUCUUCAGCAUGGAAGUUGCUGGCACUUCAUCGUCCAUAGAUCAUGAGACCACAAAUGUGGGAGAGGCUGGUGGAAAUACAAAUGACUAUUACAUCAAAAGGUUAAAACCAGAGAUAGGAAUGGAAUUUGAGAAUGACGAUAUUGCAUAUGAGUUUUACAAUACAUAUGCAGGACAUGUAGGUUUCGGUGUCAGGAAAUCUUGGCAUGUACUGCCGGGUACUAUGACAUCGGUGCCACAAUCUCAUAACUAUAAUUUGCAAGUAUUAAAGCAUGGCUUGCCUCCACUAUCGCAGGCAGACACUGCUAGUUUUCAGCAGUUACUUGGCUUGCGACCACAACAACCAUAUUUCUAUCAUAGCACUCAACCGAGUCAGACUUAUGUGGUGUCAUCGUACUCGGGAUGGCCAACAUCUCAAAAUUACCAGCUGCCAACUAGUACUCAACCAAGUCGGAGUUCCCAAAUGUUAUCAGACUCGGGAUGGCCAACACCUCAAAAAAGACCAGCUGCCAAUUAA
rnacentral:rRNA from 1 species